rnacentral:rRNA from 1 species
UGAGGAAUUUUGCGCAAUGGGGGAAACCCUGACGCAGCAACGCCGCGUGAGUGAUGAAGGCCCUCGGGUCGUAAAGCUCUGUUGGGUGGGAAGAACCCGAUUUGUGAACAAUACCACAGAUCGCUGACGGUACCACCUGAGGAAGCACCGGCUAACUCCGUGCCAGCAGCCGCGGUAAUACGGAGGGUGCAAGCGUUAUUCGGAAUUAUUGGGCGUAAAGCGCGCGUAGGCGGUUCGGUAAGUCGGCUGUGAAAGCCCAUGGCUCAACCAUGGAAGUGCAGUUGAUACUAUCGAACUUGAGUAUGGGAGAGGGAAGCGGAAUUCCUGGUGUAGCGGUGAAAUGCGUAGAUAUCAGGAGGAACACCGGUGGCGAAGGCGGCUUCCUGGACCAAUACUGACGCUCAGGCGCGAAGGCGUGGGGAGCAAACA